rnacentral:rRNA from 1 species
AUACGGAGGAUCCGAGCGUUAUCCGGAUUUAUUGGGUUUAAAGGGAGCGUAGGUGGACAGUUAAGUCAGUUGUGAAAGUUUGCGGCUCAACCGUAAAAUUGCAGUUGAUACUGGCUGUCUUGAGUACAGUAGAGGUGGGCGGAAUUCGUGGGGUAGCGGUGAAAUGCUUAGAUAUCACGAAGAACUCCGAUCGCGAAGGCAGCUCACCGGGCCGGAACUGACACUGAUGCUCGAAAGUGCGGGUAUCAAACAGGAUUAGAUACCCUGGUAGUCCGCACAGUAAACGAUGAAUACUCGCUGUUUGCGAUACACGGUAAGCGGCCAAGCGAAAGCGUUAAGUAUUCCACCUGGGGAGUACGCCGGCAACGGUGAAACUCAAAGGAAUUGGCGGGG